rnacentral:rRNA from 1 species
CAAUAGCGUAUAUCAAAGUUGUUGCAGUUAAAAGGCUCGUAGUUGAAUUUUUGCUUGCCGCCGAUGUCGGAACUUCCGUACGUUCGGCGGCGUGCAUCCUUGGGUGGAACCUGUGUGGCAUUAGGUUGUCGUGCAGGGGAUGCUCAUCGUUUACUGUGAAAAAAUUAGAGUGUUCAAAGCAGGCUUACGCCGUUGAAUAUAUUAGCAUGGAAUAAUAAGAUAGGACCUUGGUACUAUUUUGUUGGUUUGCGCACCGAGGUAAUGAUUAACAGGGACAGUUGGGGGUAUUCGUAUUCCAUUGUCAGAGGUGAAAUUCUUGGAUUUCUGGAAGACGAACUACUGCGAAAGCAUUUACCAAGGAUGUUUUCAUUAA